rnacentral:rRNA from 1 species
GUGAGGAAUAUUGGUCAAUGGACGGAAGUCUGAACCAGCCAUGCCGCGUGAAGGAUGAAGGCGUUCUGCGUUGUAAACUUCUUUUAUCUGGGAAGAAACCUCCGAUUUCUAUUGGAGCCGACGGUACCAGAGGAAUAAGCACCGGCUAACUCCGUGCCAGCAGCCGCGGUAAUACGGAGGGUGCAAGCGUUAUCCGGAUUUACUGGGUUUAAAGGGUGUGUAGGCGGACUUUUAAGUCAGUGGUGAAAUCUCCGGGCUCAACCCGGAAACUGCCAUUGAUACUAUUGGUCUUGAAUGUUGUGGAGGUGGGCGGAACGGGUCAUGUAGCGGUGAAAUGCAUAGAUAUGACCCGGAACACCGAUUGCGAAGGCAGCCCGCUACGCAACGAUUGACGCUGAGGCACGAAAGCGUGGGGAUCAAACAGGAUUAGAUACCCUAGUAGUCC